AUUGAACGCUGGCGGCAGGCUUAACACAUGCAAGUCGAGCGGGGAAGGGUAGCUUGCUACCUGACCUAGCGGCGGACGGGUGAGUAAUGCUUAGGAAUCUGCCUAUUAGUGGGGGACAACAUUCAGAAAGGAAUGCUAAUACCGCAUACGCCCUACGGGGGAAAGCAGGGGAUCUUCGGACCUUGCGCUAAGAGAUGAGCCUAGGUCAGAUUAGCUAGUUGGUGGGGUAAAGGCCUACCAAGGCGACGAUUUGUAGCGGGUCUGAGAGGAUGAUCCGCCACACUGGGACUGAGACACGGCCCAGACUCCUACGGGAGGCGGCAGUGGGGAAUAUUGGACAAUGGGCGGAAGCCUGAUCCAGCCAUGCCGCGUGUGUGAAGAAGGCCUUUUGGUUGUAAAGCACUUUAAGCGAGGAGGAGGCUACUUGGAUUAAUACUCUAGGAUAGUGGACGUUACUCGCAGAAUAAGCACCGGCUAACUCUGUGCCAGCAGCCGCCGUAA
rnacentral:rRNA from 1 species